rnacentral:sRNA from 1 species
GCUGGGCGUGGUGGCACAUGCCUGUAAUCCCAGAGACACAGGAAGCUAAGGCAGGAGGAUCGCAAGUUGGAAGCCAGCUUUGUCAACUUAACAAGACCCUGCCUCAA